UCAGAGUAGUUAGCCUAACCGCAAGGAGGGCGAUUACCACGGUAGGGUUCAUGACUGGGGUGAAGUCGUAACAAGGUAGCCGUAUCGGAAGGUGCGGCUGGAUCACCUCCUUU
rnacentral:rRNA from 1 species